UUCCUAAGUACCAGUUGCUAUCAGUCACCACAUAAAUGACUAUCCUACCUCAAGGGAAAGUGGAGGAAAAAUUUCACCUGGAGAGCAAAGUUCGUAGUGAAAGAACACAGGAGUGCCUUUACUUUCCAUCAUUUCUACAUGCCCAUUUUCAUCUUGGUCAAGACUUGUGAUUUCAUCAAUAUGGAGGAGUUCAAGCCUUCAAAGAGCAGCUAGGUGGCGCAGUGGAUAAAGCACCGGCCCUGGAUUCAGGAGGACCUGAGU